rnacentral:rRNA from 1 species
AUGAUCAAGAGGCGCUUCUUCAGGCAAGACCACGGCGACAAUAGCGCCUCCUCGUCAUCCUCCUCGUCGGGGUCAGAUUCGGACCGUGACCCCGCGGAAGAAGAGGUCUCGGAGGAGGAAGUAGAAGGGGAGCAAGAACAAGUAAAAGAAGAAGAAGAUGAUGAUGAAGCGGAGGUGGAGUCGGGGGAAGAACAGGAAAAGGAAGUAGAGGAGCAGGCCGAAGAUGAGGGUUCUGGAUACCAAAGUGAGGACAGCUCUGGACAUCAUGUUGAUAGUCCUUGUGCAGGUUUACUUUCAGAUGAGAACAGCAGUCUGGUGUAUGAACAAUACCAAGCAAUCAGUUUGCCUGUUAAGAAAGCAUCAAGUGGCGAUGCUGAUUCUGCCAAAGGUGCUGUUAACAAGGAUGACACUGUUGGGGUCGAUUUCAAUAACUACAUUCUGAAGUGCAAAUCUGUGUAUAAGUGCAAGCUUUGUCCCAGAAUCAUGUGCUUAAGUGAGGAGAUGGUCAGGGUACAUCUUGAAUCAAAGAGACAUGCUCGAUCAAAGAAACUACUGGGAGAAGGUAGGCUUAAGAUGGUGCUCAACAGUGAUGGUGAGCUGGAGGAAGAGGCAGAGACACAUGCUGAACGACAUGCCCGAACUAUAGCUCUUGCCCAGCAAGUACAAAAGCCCAAGAAGGAUUCAGGCAGGCAGCGACAAAAUCGGAGAAGACAGAAGAGGUCGCAGAAUCGUCUCAAGGACAAAGAUCAGAGACACAACUCUGGAACGGAAGGUGCAAGGCCGAACAAUCGAACUACUGAUAAGAAAAUGCCGAAUCUUGAAACUGCUGCUAAGAAAAUGCCGAAUCUUGAAACUGCUGCUAAGAAAAGGCGCAAGACUGAAAAAUAA